rnacentral:SRP_RNA from 1 species
UGCCGGUCCCCUCGCAACGAGAAGACGUAAACCCCGCCAGGCCCGGAAGGGAGCAACGGUAGCGUCUGUAUCGUGUGCCGGGGUGUGGCUGGUGGGA